CUUGUGCUUUAUGCCAAAACCAAACGAGAAUAAUAUAAAGUUUUGCUUGGAAAUUAUUAUUAAGAGAGUCGUUGUGGGAUAGUGAAUGUUUUAUUCAUAUAUAUAAUAUAUAAGCAUGAAAAUAUUAGAGAUUGCGUGGGUGUAGCAAUUGGUAUUCCAUACAAACUCAUAGAAAAUGAGCAAAAUUUUCCUGCCGUUACUUUUAAUGGCUUUUUAGCUCGCUGCAUUAUGAUGAGUAAUAAUGCGGCUUGCUUAGGCUGCAGUUCGUACCAUUUGCAGUUGUAAACUGCUCGAAAAAUUGACGAACUCUAAAAAAAUUCAUAAGCAGUAUUUGAAUAAGCAUACAGAUUUUCAACAUAGCAGCAAAUAAAUAAAUGUGUUCCAAUGUGCAUCACGUAAACUGCCAUGAAAAGAAGGUGGAGUACUGGAAAUCCCAUGUCUUUACUGGAACUCAACUGAAAAUUAAUAUUCCAAUUAUGCUGGAAAAUUAAUGAUUUCUUAAAAAUCAAAUCUCAGUGUAGACAAAAUUUUUUAAGUCGUUAAUAACAUGAAAAGAGCAAGAAAUAAGCUAUAGAGCAUUCACGAUGUAAC